AGUAACGGCGAGUGAAGCGGCAACAGCUCAAAUUUGAAAUCUGGCCUCUUUGGGGUCCGAGUUGUAAUUUGGAGAGGAUGUUUCGGGUACGGUCCGGGCUUAAAUCUCUUGGAACAGAAUGUCACAGAGGAUGAGAAUCCCGUCUGGAGUUCGGACACGGCCUAUGUGAAGCUCCUUCGACGAGUCGAGUUGUUUGGGA
rnacentral:rRNA from 1 species